AAUGGGCGCAAGCCUGAUCCAGCCAUGCCGCGUGAGUGAUGAAGGCCUUAGGGUUGUAAAGCUCUUUCGCCGGUGAAGAUAAUGACGGUAACCGGAGAAGAAGCCCCGGCUAACUUCGUGCCAGCAGCCGCGGUAAUACGAAGGGGGCUAGCGUUGCUCGGAAUCACUGGGCGUAAAGCGCACGUAGGCGGAUCGUUAAGUCAGGGGUGAAAUCCUGGGGCUCAACCUCAGAACUGCCCUUGAUACUGGCGAUCUCGAGUUCGAGAGAGGUUGGUGGAACUCCGAGUGUAGAGGUGAAAUUCGUAGAUAUUCGGAAGAACACCAGUGGCGAAGGCGGCCAACUGGCUCGAUACUGACGCUGAGGUGCGAAAGCGUGGGGAGCAAA
rnacentral:rRNA from 1 species